GUCGUUACUACAGCCCUGUCCCCUUUUCACGAAUGUGACCUACCGAAUUACACUUAUUACCGGGUUUGUACGACAUGUACUAACAUGAACAACACAACGGGUGUCCCAUUUGAAGCAAGAUCUGCUUAUCAUUCCGGAGAACAUGAGAAACCCAUCCCCACUCCCAUCCAGCUCUUGAUGGGGUCAGUCUUUAGUUGUUUCUGUUAUGUUUCGUGAAAUAUUGCUUGUCUGUUUGUCUUUUUCUUUUUUGAUAAUGGCAUUGUCAGUUCUUUUUCGACUUAUGAGUUUGAAUGUCUCUUUU
rnacentral:lncRNA from 1 species